CACAAACACAUUUGAAGAUUAUAUGCUCGUAAAAGUAAAUAUUUUGUUGUGGAUUCGGAUCGUAAUACAGAGAAAAGUAACGAAAGAAAGAUUCAAAAGAAAGGUUUACGACGAGAAAUUCCCAAAGAUUUGAUAUUACGAGCCAUAGAAGAGGUAUCAAAAGGAUCAAAAAUAAAAACAACAGCCUUUAUGGGUUCUAACUAAUUUAAGAUAAGUCGUGAUAUAUUUAAGAUGUUUUUUUUUUGUUGUUAUUACGUAUAUUUUUGGCGUCUAUUAUAGAUGUUAAGUGUUUUACAGGCCAUGCCCAAGCCUCCCACCGGGUGUGCCCAAUGCUCCCUACCAUAGGGAGCCUUGGGCACUUUUGACUUAAUUUUUUAAUUACCUUCUAAUUAGGAGACUGAUUAUUAUUAUAAGAAAGUUCUUUAUAAGAUAUCUAGCCAAAAGUAUGGAGCAAUAGAAAGUGGCAAUAAAUGUAGAUUAUCUACAAAA